UACGUAGGGGGCAAGCGUUAUCCGGAUUUACUGGGUGUAAAGGGGGCGCAGACGGCGAUGCAAGCCAGGAGUGAAAGCCCGGGGCCCAACCCCGGGACUGCUCUUGGAACUGCGUGGCUGGAGUGCAGGAGGGGCAGGCGGAAUCCCUGGUGUAGCGGUGAAGUGCGUAGAUAUCAGGAGGAACACCGGUGGCGAAGGCGGCCUGCUGGACUGCAACUGACGUUGAGGCCCGAAAGCGUGGGGAGCAAACAGG
rnacentral:rRNA from 1 species